UUGAAAUGAUGAAUUACAAUCUAACCAUCUUUCGACUGAACAGUCUUGAUGUACAACUCUUCUCUGAGUCCCCUC